CCCAUUCCCCCUUCUGCUCUGCACUGCCUCCCAGAGGCCUCCCAGCUCUAUGAGGAAGGGCCCUUCCCCACCACGGCUGCACACAGAAAACAGAACGUGGGGUUUCCAGGGCUACUGAUCUUCCAGAGAAAGGCCAACCUAUACUUCCGGCCAGGACCUCCUGCAGGACACACAGCCACACCUCAGACCUGAUUUACACACCCACGGGUCAGCUUCCUGCAGCAGGAUCGCAUUCUUUAAGAACAAGGCAUGGUUAGCACAUCUAUCUGAGAGAACUCAACAGACCUGCCCAGAGACCUGAGUCUGGUGGGCCCUGGUGUGGAAAUGGAGAAGGCACUACCCCCUGGGGCCCUCCCUCUGGCCUGUGGGACUGGGGCACAGGACAGGGCACUUGGCUUGGGAAUACUUGCUAAAUAAAUGAAUGAAUGAAUA